AUGGGGGAAAAACAGGGAAAAAUCGGGGAAAAAUCCAUGGGAAAAAUCAGGGGGAAACCACAUGGAACACAUGGGAAAAACAGAGAGAAAUCCAUGGGAAAAUCGGGGAAAAUCAGGGAGAAAUCCAUGGGAAAAUCAGGGAGAAAUCCAUGGGAAAAUCGGGGAGAAAUCCAUGGGAAAAUCGGGGAAAAUCAGGGAGAAAUCCAUGGGAAAAUCAGGGAAAAUCAGGGAGAAAUCCAUGGGAAAAUCAGGGAAAAAUCCAUGGGAAAAUCUGGGAAAAUCAGGGAGAAAUCCAUGGGAAAAUCAGGGAAAAAUCCAUGGGAAAAUCGGGGAAAAUCAGGGAGAAAUCAGUGGGAAAAUCGGGGAAAAACAGGGAGAAAUCCAUGGGGAAAUCGGCGAAAAUCAGAUAAAAACCAUGGAGAAUCCAUGGGGAAAAAAAGAUGGGAAAUCCAUGGGGAAAUCAGGGAGAAAAUCAGGGAGAAACCAUGGGAAAUGCCUGGGAAUUUGGGAAUUGUUGGGAAUGUUGGGAAUUUGGGAAUUUUUGGGAAUUUAGGAAUCUUUGGAAUGUCAGGAAUAUUGGGAAUUUGGGAAUUGUUGGAAUGUUGGGAAUGUCGGCACCUUCUCCCUCAUGUUCUCGGCGCCGCCCUGAGCCCGCACGGCCCCGGAGCGAGAAUCGAACACGAACCCCGAGGGAUCUGCGGGAAACGGAAACCGGGGACUCACAGAAAUCCCAAAUUCCCAAAUCCCAAUCCCAAAUUCCCCAAAUUCCCCAAAAUCCCAAUCCCAAAUUCCCCCAAAUCCCAGAAAUCCCAAUCCCAAAUUCCCCAAAAUCCCAGAAAUCCCAAAUUCCCCAAAAUCCCAGAAAACCCAAUCCUAAAUUCCCCAAAAUCCCAAUCCCAAAUUCCCCAAAUCCCAGAAAUCCCAAUCCCAAAUUCCCCAAAAUCCCUGGGAAUGCUGGGCCCAAAUCCCAGAAAUCCCAAUCCCAAAUUCCCCAAAAUCCCAAUCCCAAAAUCCCCAAAUUCCCAGAAAUCCCAAUCCCAAAUUCCCAAAAUCCCUGGGAAUGCUGGGCCUGGAUCCCCAGAAAUCCCAAUCCUAAAUUCCCCAAAAUCCUACUCCCAAAUUCCCCAAAAUCCCAGAAAUCCCAAUCCUAAAUUCCCAGAAAUCCCUGGGAAUGCUGGGCCCAAUUCCCAGAAAUCCCAAUCCUAAAUUCCCCAAAAUCCCAGAAAUCCCAAAUUCCCCAA
rnacentral:lncRNA from 1 species